rnacentral:rRNA from 1 species
UCCGGAGGGUGCAAACGUUGCUCGGAAUCAUUGGGCGUAAAGCGCACGUAGGCGGUCCCAUAAGUCGGGUGUGAAAGCCCUCGGCUUAACCGAGGAAGUGCAUUCGAAACUGCGGGACUUGAGUACCGGAGAGGGUGACGGAAUUCCCGGUGUAGAGGUGAAAUUCGUAGAUAUCGAGCGGAAUACCGGUGGCGAAGGCGGCCAUCUGGACAGUCACUGACGCUGAGACGCGAAAGCUAGGGGAGCGAACGGG